ensembl:lncRNA
AGGACACUGGCCUUUAUUAGCUCCUUGCUUUAAGAAAUACAUUAAUCAACUGAAAUUCAAUUUUAAAGACCCAAAGAGGAAUAUAUGAAAGGAUUAGCCAAUUGAUAUGUAAUUGAAUUACGAGUUCAGAUGUGAUUAAUAGUGAAAUCUGACUGUGAAAGAAAGCCUGCAAUGAUCCAAUGUACAGCCUCAUCUACUGGCAAACGACCCACUGAUUCCCAGUGCUUGCUGGCAGCCAUCAUACCCACAGCCGUUUCAUGCACAAAAUCGACACAAAAGCCAAAUGCAGGCAAAGGGUAGGGCUCCAGCAAACCAGAUUCUGCAUUUAUUGGACUCAGAACAACAGCGGAUUUUCAGGUUACAAAAGGAACUGAACACUGAGCACGAGGGGCCACCCUGUGGCAUGGCUGGGUGCUCAUGUGGGCCCCAGGCAUGGCUGAAAGAGAAAGGAGAAUUUUCAUUUACCCCCAGCACGGUGUCAUCUGUUUCUUUACCUGGGUGCCAGGCAGGCCCCUCUCUUUGGUUAUGCAGAUUAACAUCCUUCAGUCCCACACGGGGACUUGAGAGUUGCAGUUGUCCCCAGGGCAUCCUGCACUGCACUCCAUUGGCCCCAGAAGCAUCUGUCAUCACAGUCCAGCCCAUGGUACCAAAACACUCUGGGGCUCUCUCUUCCUUAGCCAAUGCAUUCAGUUCCAAUUAGAAAAAAAAAAAAAAAAAAAAAAAAAAAACAAGCAAAACAAAAAAAAUAAAAACAAAACCAAAACAAAACAGAGAGAAAAAAAAAACCAAACAGCUGUGUCAACAAUCCAUCUAAUUCCUUCUCUGGGAUAAUUUACCCUCAGGCAAUGCUAUAAUUUGGGCAAAGCACUGCGAUUCCAAACUGGGCCAGACCAGGCUGUGUGUGCUGCACCUGCAGCACGGGUUUCUGGGGUCUCCAGGGUCACAGUCCCAUCAAAAUGGGGCCAAGGCCUGUCCAGUAUCAUGCUCAGCCCUCCCCUUGGAGCCAGGCCCCCAGAAAGAACCAGCAUCAUACCCCAAAGUCUCUCUGCCAUUCCAAGGCUGCCGGCUCUUUUUCUUCUGGCACUGCUGUGGCAUUGGCUUCUCUCUUUCCCCCAGCUGUGGUGGAAGGAGCAGUUGCAGACUGGCCUUUGUUACUCCCAGGAGCACAGCUGUGGGCUGGGAGCCCCCCAGGCAAAAAGGCACCAGCAAUGAGCUUUUUGGCUUAUUACAAAGAAAGUAAAAUAUAUCAAACAGAGAACUCUUAUUAUUACAGAGACAUGUUAACAAAGAGAAACAGCAUAAAAUUGCCACAGAACACCAAAUAUCCGGCACAGAGAGCAGCUUUUAUCAACUUGCUAAGGGUUAAUGUGGGCGCAGAGAUUGACUCUGUGAGUCACAAGCACCCUGUCUGCCCACAGCCACCCCAGUGCCCACAGCCAGCCCUGGGCCUGCAAAAUGUGGGACACAGCCACUCUGUAAGCCCAGCAUUCUGCCCAAAUGUGCAAGUCAGAGAGGGAAGAAACAAGGGACACUGUGUUGUUCCCCAAAUGCAAACACUGUCCCUGUCUAACCUCAAGAAGACACAGGAAGGCUGGAGAAGGUGAUGCCAACCCCAGCCUGUGCCAGUGUGUGCCUGUGCAUGCCACAAAAGGGGGCACCUUUGCAAACUGGGCAGCACGAGCCAGAAAAAUAAUUAAAACUCUUCAAUAAAUUGGCACGUUCUGACUCAUCUCCUGCAGAGCAUCCAGCACCUCAGUGUGCAGCCAGAGAGGACUCUUAGAGCACGUCACUAAAUAGAUAUCUUUAGCGAUAGAAAAUGGGCCAUGCCUUUAUUUUAUGCAGAGAUAGAUAAUUUUAGCAUACAUUGUGUUAUUGAAACAUCCAGGGCAAGAGCUCAGCAAGGGGAGGGACAGCACAGGGACUGCAGGGCCGGCCAGUGGUGACUGAGGGCAGCAGCUCUCGGGCUGGCAGGGAGGCAGGUGACACCUCGGGUGCCCCUCAGCAUUCCCUGCAGAGCACAGGGACAGCCCCAUGGCCCAGAGCAGGGAGUGGUGCCACAGGGAGGGUCCUGCCCCAGCUUCACCUCCCUCACUGAGCACCCUGUUCCCUGAGCUAAGCACAAAGGGCCUCUUGGACUUCAUGGCAGUGGCAUGUGGAUGCUGCUGGCUCUCCAGACUCAACCACAGCCUCUCCAAGCAGAGAGCUGCUGUCUUGGCUCUUGUUCCUGCUGAGCUGAGCUCCCUGCUGAGGCAGGGGGUGCUGGCAGGAGCCUGUCAGGCUCAGGUGGGCACAGGUCGGUGAUACCUGCCCUGGGAGUGCUGCAUGCCAUUGCAGCAUUUGAUCUGUCUCACUGCUUCUGGCAUGACACAGGGCUGAGGAUUUCUUUAUCCUUUAUCCCACACCCUCUGUUAUGGAAUGGUGCCCAUCCAUGCACAAACACUGCCCCCAGGGAGAUGCCAACAUCUGUAUCCCUUGUCCUCCAUCUGCUGCCUUGGGCAGGAGCUGAUGGGCUGAGCCAUGACCCAGACUGAGCCAGCUCAGAACCCCCCACACCUCUGAGAUGAGCCAGAGCAGAGUCAGGGAAUGCACAGGGGCACCUGGAGAUGGUCAGCUCUCAGCUGUGACACCCAGGGUGUCCCAACCUCAGGGCUCAGCCAGCCCGAGGAGAGCCUCAGGGACAGCUUCUUUGGGACUGUGAACACGGUGAAAUUCUCCUUGCUUUAUUAAAGCAAAAAUAGACAAAAAAGCAUAAAAAUAAAUGGCAGGAGUUAGACUUUGGUAUUUCGUAAAGACUCUUCUUCCCCAGUUCCUGCAGCAGCCCAUGAAAAUCCACAUGGAAACAGCAUUAAUUGCCCCAGCAAAUACACACACAGGUGCUGCGAGUCCUGGCUCCCACAUUUCCUGGUAAUUACAUUGCAGAAACCCAAUUUUUGAAUUAACAAGUUGCAGAAGUUACUGUGAUACUGAAGAGACAGAGAGCAUGACCUCAAUGCCCCCGACUGCCCCUCUGUCCUGGGCUGGGGGUGCUCCCCGUGAGCUGCUGCCCUGCUCAGCACUCACUGUCCUGAGUGACACACACGGGGCAGGUGAUACAGGGGCAGAAUCCUUCCCCUGCUCCUCCACUUCUCAUUCACAUGCUGCUCCCACCAGGAAAGCAGGGUGGGCAAAUCCCUGCUAGGUUUGGCCUCUUUCCAGUCUCCCAGCAGAUGAACACCCAGCAGGACACGGCCACACUCAUUAACCAACCAAACCUUCACUGACAUGAGCCUGUGUGAAGCACAAAGCUCUCCCAAACUGAUGUUCCAACAGCUUGGAGCCAUCCUGAGCUGAUAUCAGGGACUGGGAAUCAGCACUCAUCUGCUCACUGAGCUCUGCUGUGAAGAGCCAGGGAAAUUUCCAGAAGACAGGGAUGCACCAGCUUGAAUUUUUCACUGGUUCAUUUGCAGAUAUCUGUAGCUCACAUCAGCACUGAAAAUGCCAGCAGCCCUCUGGCAUGGGGGAGCCUCUGAGAGCAGCAACCUGCUGGCUGCCAGCCAGAAAGUUCACCUAUGGGUCCUGUUGCUGCCUGCAUGAGAGGAUUUCAGAAGGAGGAGCAGGAUCAGAGCCUUAUCUAGCGGAGGAAGGAAAACCAUUGCAAAGAAAGAUCCUCCCCAUCCAUAGGGGCUUUUCCCCCACUCCUUCUAAUAAUGAAAAUCCCAUCCAAAAGUUGGAAAGUAUCAGGGAAAUUGUUUGUUUAACUCCAAGAGUGUAAAGGAGCAGCUGCACCUUGAUGGCAUUUCCUGGAGAGCUGAGCUGGGCUCUGGGUGGGCGCAGGGCUCUGGGUGUGCUCACUGCCCUGGGAGGGUGCAGAGUUUGCUGUUUGUCUGUGCCAGCACAAGAAUCCCUCGUAGGUGUCUGGUUUAGUGAUGCCAGCCCAUGAUGGCAUGUGUGACCCUGGCACCAGCCUGUGUGUGUGCAGUCACUGACAGCCUGUCUGGGUCUGGGCACGGGGUUUGGAUGUACUCAGGAUGUGCAGGAGGAGGAGAAAUAAAACACCACAGGGCACGUAGGCUUGGCCUCUGUGUGUGUGCUGGGGGCAGGCUGGGUGUGUGGGGUGGUGCAUGUGGGAUGGGGUGUGUGGGGUGAUGUGUAAGGGAUGGUGAGUGUGGUGUGUGAGUGGUGUGUAAGGGAUGGGGUGUGUGGUGUGUAAGGGAUGGUGUGUGGGGUGUGUAAGGGAUGGUGUGUGGUAUGUCAGGGAUGGGGUGUGUGGUGUGUGAGGGAUUGUGUUUGUGGUGUGUAAGGGAUGGUGUGUGUGGUGUGUAAGGGAUGAUGUGAGUGGUGUGUAAGGGAUGGUGUGUGUGGUGUGUAAGGGAUUGUGUGUGUGGUGUG